rnacentral:rRNA from 1 species
UACGUAGGGCGCAAGCGUUGUCCGGAAUUAUUGGGCGUAAAGAGCUCGUAGGCGGUCUGUACGUCCGCUAGUCGAAAACCCAGGGCUUAACCCUGGGCUUGCAGUGGAUACGGGUAGACUAGAGGCAGGUAGGGGGAGAAUGGAAUUCCUGGUGUAGCGGUGAAAUGCGCAGAUAUCAGGAGGAACACCAAUUGCGAAGGCAGCUCGCUCGGGACGUGACUGACGCUGAGACGCGAAAGCGUGGGGAGCAAACAGG